rnacentral:rRNA from 2 species
GACAGAGGUGCCGAGCGUUAGGCGGAAUCACUGGGCUUAAAGCGCGUGUAGGCGGGUCCGUAAGUGCCUUGUGAAAUCCCACGGCUCAACCGUGGAACUGCUGGGCAUACUGCGGGUCUUGGGCCAUCUAGGGGCGAGCGGAACAAGCGGUGGAGCGGUGAAAUGCGUAGAUAUCGCUUGGAACGCCAAUGGUGAAAACAGCUCGCUGGGGAUGUGCCGACGCUGAGACGCGAAAGCCAGGGGAGCGAACGGG